CUGAUCCCAUCCCGAACUCAGAAGUGAAACCAGCCUGCGCCGAUGGUACUUUGUCUUAAGGCACGGGAGAGUAGGUCACCGCCGGGC
rnacentral:rRNA from 1 species